ensembl:snRNA U1 U1 spliceosomal RNA
AAACUCAGCUGAGUAAGGAAGCAUCUUGAUCAGGAAGGUGAUUCUCCCAUGGCAAAGCUUAGCUUUUUCACUCUGUAGGAUGGACCGCAGCUAUUUUUUCAAAUAUGAGAAACUCAACUCCAGACUCUGUGGAAGAUACAGUAUUCUCUGUCC